UUCAGCGGGACAUCAUUGCGGGUAGGGUGGCCGAGUAGGCGGCAGGCUGUAGUCCUGUUUACGGGGCAGGCCCCCCCAACCA
rnacentral:tRNA from 1 species